GCCGGGGUGGCGGAACGGCAGACGCGCUACGUUCAGGGCGUAGUGUCCGCAAGGGCGUGCGGGUUCAAAUCCCGCCCUCGGCACCA
rnacentral:tRNA from 1 species